GCAAAUGGACUAAGCGACCUUGUUCCGGAUCCAGCAGACAUCAUGCUGACACACCAGAAAAACCCUGGAUGCGGUAGAACCAGUUGGUUCUUUCAUUUAUUGCAAGGUGUAUUGGUACCGCCGUG